rnacentral:snRNA from 1 species
GUCCACAUCCAUUGAUUUCGGGGACAUCCGAUAAAAUUGGAACGAUACAGAAAAGAUUAGCAUGGAUGACACGCACAAAUCGAGAAAUGGUCAUGUCGGCUUUAU